rnacentral:rRNA from 1 species
GUGGAUUAGAUACCCUAGUAGUCCUGGCAGUAAAUGGUGUGCGCUUGGUGUGAGGGGAAUCGACCCCCCUUGUGCCGGAGCUAACGCGUUAAGCGCACCGCCUGGGAAGUACGGUCGCAAGACUAAAACUCAAAGAAAUUGACGGGGACCCGCACAAGCGGUGGAGUAUGUGGCUUAAUUCGAUGCAACGCGAAGAACCUUACCAAGGCUUGACAUGCAUCUCUAAGCGCGUGAAAGCGCGUGACCCUUCGGGGGA